rnacentral:rRNA from 1 species
AACAAGGUUUCCCGUAGGUGAACCUGCGGAAGGAUCAUUA